rnacentral:rRNA from 1 species
CCUACGGGGGGCUGCAGUAGGGAAUCUUCCACAAUGGGCGAAAGCCUGAUGGAGCAACGCCGCGUGGGUGAAGAAGGUCUUCGGAUCGUAAAACCCUGUUGUUAGAGAAGAAAGUGCGUGAGAGUAACUGUUCACGUUUCGACGGUAUCUAACCAGAAAGCCACGGCUAACUACGUGCCAGCAGCCGCGGUAAUACGUAGGUGGCAAGCGUUAUCCGGAUUUAUUGGGCGUAAAGGGAACGCAGGCGGUCUUUUAAGUCUGAUGUGAAAGCCUUCGGCUUAACCGGAGUAGUGCAUUGGAAACUGGGAGACUUGAGUGCAGAAGAGGAGAGUGGAACUCCAUGUGUAGCGGUGAAAGGCGUAGAUAUAUGGAAGAACACCAGUGGCGAAAGCGGCUAUCUGGUCUGUAACUGACGCUGAGGUUCGAAAGCGUGGGUAGCAAACAGGAUUAGAUACCCUAGUAGUC